rnacentral:tRNA from 1 species
UCCGUUAUGGUGUAUCGGCUAGCAUCCGUCGCUUUCAUCAGCUUUCGAGCAAAUGUCAGCCUCCGACGAGAGCCGGGUUCGAUUCCCGGUAACGGAA